AAAUUGAAGAGUUUGAUCAUGGCUCAGAUUGAACGCUGGCGGCAGGCCUAACACAUGCAAGUCGAACGGUAACAGGAAGCAGCUUGCUGCUUCGCUGACGAGUGGCGGACGGGUGAGUAAUGUCUGGGAAACUGCCUGAUGGAGGGGGAUAACUACUGGAAACGGUAGCUAAUACCGCAUAACGUCGCAAGACCAAAGGGGGGGACCUUCGGGCCUCUUGCCAUCGGAUGUGCCCAGAUGGGAUUAGCUUGUUGGUGGGGUAACGGCUCACC
rnacentral:rRNA from 1 species